GAUGAACGCUGGCGGCGUGCCUAAUACAUGCAAGUCGAGCGAACGGACGAGAAGCUUGCUUCUCUGAUGUUAGCGGCGGACGGGUGAGUAACACGUGGAUAACCUACCUAUAAGACUGGGAUAACUUCGGGAAGCCGGAGCUAAUACCGGAUGAUAUUUUGAACCGCAUGGUUCAAAAGUGAAAGACGGUCUUGCUGUCACUUAUAGAUGGAUCCGCGCUGCAUUAGCUAGUUGGUAAGGUAACGGCUUACCAAGGCAACGAUGCAUAGCCGACCUGAGAGGGUGAUCGGCCACACUGGAACUGAGACACGGUCCAGACUCCUACGGGAGGCAGCAGUAGGGAAUCUUCCGCAAUGGGCGAAAGCCUGACGGAGCAACGCCGCGUGAGUGAUGAAGGUCUUCGGAUCGUAAAACUCUGUUAUUAGGGAAGAACAUAUGUGUAAGUAACUGUGCACAUCUUGACGGUACCUAAUCAGAAAGCCACGGCUAACUACGU
rnacentral:rRNA from 1 species